rnacentral:sRNA from 1 species
UUAAUAGAUUGUGUGUGCGUUUUUUUCUUUAUUUUAUU